CCUCUGCUACUGGAGGAGGAGCCUGUGUGGUGGCUCGGAGGGUAGGCCUCCGCACUCGAGUGGUGUCUCUCUCUUUCGAUGAUGUCGGAGGACUUUACCAAGAUUCUGCCUUUAUCGAUUGGACUAUUGCGUUUAUGGACGGUGGACUUUUUCAGUCUCAUGGUUUUUUAUACCCUGAGACCUCAUCACCUCUCAUGCCUUUGUCAUUGGUGCCAAUAGGUACAAUUCUGGCUGCUCCCCUUCUCCCUUUCGAACACUGUGAACCCUGUCUGAGACGCCCCUGAUCGUGGCACCUGGGAGGUCCAAGGAGAGGAGAAACACACACAAAAUGCUGGAGGAACUCAGCAGGUCACUCAGCGUCUAUGGAGUGGAAAAACGAAUGGUCUCGGCACCUCUCUCUUCUUCAAUUGCCCAUUCUGGCCUCUUCCUCAUCGUGGCUAUCCGGAGAAGAAGAAUUUCAGAGUUGUAUACUUUGAUAAUAAAUGAACCUUUGUAUCUUUUAAAUCCUUUUUUGAAAAUAGCUAUAGAAAGUUUUUGAUUUGCUUUUUAGCCAGUACAGCAAAACAUUGUGGGCCGAGUGGCCUGUUGCUGUGCUGUAUUCUUCUCUGUUCUAUGUACUGCUACCGCAAAGACAUGACGUGCUGGUGAUAUUAAGCCUGAUUCUGAUUCUGAAUCUGUUCGAUGUUCUACGAAUUACAACAGUCCCUAAAAAUGUCCGAGCAAAGUAUAGCUUUGAGGAACAAUCUGAACACCGAAUUCAGGAUUUGAUUGAAUGGAAAAUGUGCUUGUGCUCUAUAUUUUUGUGAAGUGGGAAAUUAAUAGCAAGAAUUGUGACGGGGCAAAGAGGCAAGACCAGGACAAGAGUUAAAAAACGUUUUUGAAAAAAACGUUCAAACUGUCUGAUAGAUUUUGAUCAUCACAGUUUUUAUUUUCCAACCCAAUAGUUGGUACAAGGUAUUAGUAGAGACUGCUGAGAUCAAUAUUUCAUGGUCCUUCUAUGUCUCAUCAAACAGAAAUUCUCACAAAUCACCCUGCUUUUCAUUGACCGAGACUGGUUUGGAAUAAACUAAUUUAAAAAUGUGUAAGUUUUCAUGGUUUUUGACAAAUUGCUAUCGAAUCUUGGAGUUUUGAACAAAUAAAAUCCUUAA